UACGAAGGGGGCUAGCGUUGUUCGGAAUGACUGGGCGUAAAGGGUGUGUAGGCGGUUAUACACGUCAGAUGUGAAAUCCCCGGGCUUAACCUGGGAAUGGCAUUUGAUACGGUAUAGCUAGAGAUUGGUAGAGGGUAGUGGAAUUCCGAGUGUAGAGGUGAAAUUCGUAGAUAUUCGGAGGAACACCAGUGGCGAAGGCGGCUCACUGGUCCAUUACUGACGCUGAGGUGCGAAAGCGUGGGGAGCAAACAGG
rnacentral:rRNA from 1 species